GACGAACGCUGGCGGCGUGCCUAAUACAUGCAAGUAGAACGCUGAAGGAGGAGCUUGCUUCUCUGGAUGAGUUGCGAACGGGUGAGUAACGCGUAGGUAACCUGCCUGGUAGCGGGGGAUAACUAUUGGAAACGAUAGCUAAUACCGCAUAAUAGCAGUUGUUGCAUGACAACUGUUUGAAAGGUGCAAUUGCACCACUACCAGAUGGACCUGCGUUGUAUUAGCUAGUUGGUGGGGUAACGGCUCACCAAGGCGACGAUACAUAGCCGACCUGAGAGGGUGAUCGGCCACACUGGGACUGAGACACGGCCCAGACUCCUACGGGAGGUAGCAGUAGGGAAUCUUCCGCAAUGGGCGAAAGCCUGACGGAGCAACGCCGCGUGAGUGAUGAAGGUCUUCGGAUCGUAAAACUCUGUUAUUAGGGAAGAACAAAUGUGUAAGUAACUAUGCACGUCUUGACGGUACCUAAUCAGAAAGCCACGGCUAACUACGUG
rnacentral:rRNA from 1 species